AAAAAAAAAAAAAAAAUGUUCACUCUAAAUUGACCCUUCUUUUCGUAGUGUGAGUGUAGGUGUUAAUGUUUGUUUCUCAGCAGUCACCAGACAAGGAUGAGGGCACGGUACAGCCUGGACAGUUUGCCAGUCAACGUCCGGGAAUAGAGACAACCUGGGGGAGGAAAAAAAAAAUCAAGAUCCAGUCAGAAGAAGUGGGAUUUCAAGAGUACUUCUCAGAACAUGAAAAAUGUGCAUCCCUCAGUCGGGAGUUUGCACAGACAUGAAUAAUCGUCUGGAAGUUUCCACCAACAUCAUGGAAAAACAGGACAGACGACACUUUCGAUUCACUAUACGUUACGUCGGAGUCGCGAAGGCCAGCAGUUGUCAGACGAGGGCGCCGUCUCAACCUGGAUAGUUUAUCACAAGGUACGAUAUUAAAAGUGUCCUUAGAGAAAGUGUACAUAGAGAAAGCAUUCAAACCAAGACCAUCAGUUACCACCGGGGAUCAAACCUUUGAUCAUGUCGCUGUAAGGCAAGAGCAUUUGCCACUUCACCACCGUGUGGCCCCCAGAGUCUGUGUUAUCUUCUGGUUUCUCCGGUGUUUUCUCCCUUUUUUUUCUUCAUCCUCUGUUGGCGGA